UAUCCUGUAACAUGCCCACUGGGGCUUCAGGAGCUGUAAACAUUCACCCCUAGACCCUGCCCUGGGGUAGGAGUCCCACAGCCUGCCCGUCUGUAUGCUCCCCUAGAGGUCUGAGCAGCGGGGCACUGAAGAAGCCAGCUGUGCCCCCAUCGCGAGCCCCGCGAGGGGGAGGAGGGAGCCUUUGCCUUUUCAACUGGAGACAUCGACCGGGAUCCUGGAAGGAAUCUGAUAACCAAAAGUUCUACUCACCUCAACCUAAUCAACCUGAAGAUGACGAGGAUGAAAACCUUUCUGAUGAUCCACUUCCAUUUAAUGAAUAGUUCAAAGUGUUGCAAUGUGUACAAAAUAAGAGGAGUGUCUGUGCCUUUGAAAGGUAAAUGUUUGUAGAAUCUCAAAGUUUAGAACAAAUAUUACCUAUGCAACAAAAAUGGCAUCUGCUAAGUAAGCCUACAAAAUACUACUAAACAACACCAAACACAUUUCUUUAUAAUAAAAUGAAAUUUGACUAGAAUUGUAAGUGGUGUUUUGCUUAAUAAAAUCUCAAUGUCAGAAGUUA